rnacentral:lncRNA from 1 species
GCCUCAUCUCUGCUACUGUCAGAAGCUGCACAGCUGGUUCUUAGCAAAGAAAAGACACACUACACUACCUUGCUGCUGUGCACAGAAAGAGGUUAACUUUACGUCUGUCUGCACUUCUGUAUCUGUGUGCUUGCUGUUGAACUGGAUGGCUGUUGUGAGCUAGAGAGCUAGCAGCCUCAAUCCAAACUGAUCAAGACUAAUGAUGUCCAUCAGCCAUCUCCAUCUCUGUGAAGAACUAUAAAACAACAGCCAGGAAAGUGCUGAGCCCACAGUUUCCAUAACUGACUUUCACAAAAUGAUCUCUGCUGUUCUGCCAGUUCCAAAGCUGGAGUUCCUCAUACCAAGUCACUCUACACGCAGUGCCAAAACAGGCAGACUCUAUGGGAAGGGAAACUCUUAAGUCUGAGAGAGGCACUAAAUCCAGUAUUGGUUGUGGCACUGCUGAAGCUAAUUAUGGCUGGUAAGUAUGAA